rnacentral:rRNA from 1 species
UACAGAGGUCCCGAGCGUUGUUCGGAUUCAUUGGGCGUAAAGGGUGCGUAGGCGGCGGGGCAAGUCUGAUGUGAAAUCCCGGGGCUCAACCCCGGAACUGCAUUGGAUACUGCCUUGCUUGAGUACUGGAGAGGGAACUGGAAUUUACGGUGUAGCAGUGAAAUGCGUAGAGAUCGUAAGGAAGGCCAGUGGCGAAGGCGGCUUCCUGGACCGACACUGACGCUGAGGCGCGAAAGCUAGGGGAGCAAACGGG